rfam:Gossypium raimondii Chr11_contig_379, whole genome shotgun sequence.
AUCCCGUGGUGAGGGCAUUUAUAUAGUAGCUCUUUGAAUAUUUCCCAUGCCUCGUAUAGGGACUCAUCAUUCAUCUACUGAAAAGUGGUGAUCUCAUUCCGCAACU